CAGUCGCCACGGUAAUACGGAGGGUGCAAGCGUUAAUCGGAAUUACUGGGCGUAAAGCGCACGCAGGCGGUCUGUCAAGUCAGAUGUGAAAUCCCCGGGCUUAACCUGGGAACUGCAUUUGAAACUGGCAGGCUAGAGUCUUGUAGAGGGGAGUAGAAUUCCAGGUGUAGCGGUGAAAUGCGUAGAGAUCUGGAGGAAUACCGGUGGCGAAGGCGGCCCCCUGGACAAAGACUGACGCUCAGGUGCGAAAGCGUGGGGAGCAAACAGGAUUAGAUACCCCGGUAGUCCCUGUCUCUUAUAC
rnacentral:rRNA from 1 species